AGUAAUUUUACUGUGUGAAUAACUGAAUAUAAACAACUAUUUUCUCACAGUCUCAUUUUUUCUGUUUACAAAAAGCCUGGCAAUUAACACUUAGCCUGGCGAUUGUGUGUGUGUGUGUGUGUGUGUGUGUGUGUGUGUGUCCGCUUCGAAUAAUUGUGCUUUUGUUUUGUAUUUCAAUUUAUUUGGUUGAGCUUUGUUCCAAGACAGUUGGCACUAGGACUGUAAUUUUUUUUGUAAUAUCUCUGCCAGUUUUAGUUGCUCCAGACAGCCAUUCUUUGGCUCUUUUGUGCGGAGGAAGGUUGUAUUAUGAGCGAGUCACUGAUUCAUUUACUCAGUUGAUUUAUUCACUAAUUCAUUCAGGAACGACACUAUUGUUCAGAAUUUAGUGUUGCAAAUAUAGCGAAUUUUUUCUACAAAAAUCAACUUCUUGUUCUGGACAAAGCUUAUCUGACACAUCUGUACUGUCCUGCGAGCAUGUUUUAUAAUCCAAGUAAUCAUUUCAUAUGUAAAUAUAGUCUUAAUCGUGCCAUAA